rnacentral:lncRNA from 1 species
CGACAGAGAUCAUCCGAGCAAAAUCUUAGUGUUGUGAGACAGCCCUCUGAAAAUCAUUCUAACUCAGAUGUUUCUCAUGAGAUUUUUGAACGCCACAAUUAUAUUUUCAACCAAGAGCUCUUGUAAAUUUGCAGUUGUUGGCUACAUGAUAACAUCUCAUUUCAAAACGUCUUUGUCUGGCUGGUUUAUCUACUUCUCUACCAGGAAAUCUGUUGAACCCAUAGUGGUUUCUGUACAAAUGUUUCUGCAUUUCUCAAUAAACAGUG